rnacentral:rRNA from 1 species
AGACCCGAAACCCGGUGAUCUAGCCAUGGGCAGGUUGAAGGUUGGGUAACACUAACUGGAGGACCGAACCGACUAAUGUUGAAAAAUUAGCGGAUGACCUGUGGCUGGGGGUGAAAGGCCAAUCAAACCGGGAGAUAGCUGGUUCUCCCCGAAAGCUAUUUAGGUAGCGCCUCGUGAAUUCAUCUCCGGGGGUAGAGCACUGUUUCGGCUAGGGGGCCAUCCCGGCUUACCAACCCGAUGCAAACUGCGAAUACCGGAGAAUGUUAUCACGGGAGACACACGGCGGGUGCUAACGUCCGUCGUGAAGAGGGAAACAACCCAGACCGCCAGCUAAGGUCCCAAAGUCAUGGUUAAGUGGGAAACGAUGUGGGAAGGCCCAGACAGCCAGGAUGUUGGCUUAGAAGCAGCCAUCAUUUAAAGAAAGCGUAAUAGCUCACUGGUCGAGUCGGCCUGCGCGGAAGAUGUAACGGGGCUAAACCAUGCACCGAAGCUGCGGCAGCGACACUCAGGUGUUGUUGGGUAGGGGAGCGUUCUGUAAGCCUGUGAAGGUGGCCUGUGAGGGUUGCUGGAGGUAUCAGAAGUGCGAAUGCUGACAUAAGUAACGAUAAAGCGGGUGAAAAGCCCGCUCGCCGGAAGACCAAGGGUUCCUGUCCAACGUUAAUCGGGGCAGGGUGAGUCGACCCCUAAGGCGAGGCCGAAAGGCGUAGUCGAUGGGAAACGGGUUAAUAUUCCCGUACUUGGUGUUACUGCGAAGGGGGGACGGAGAAGGCUAUGUUGGCCGGGCGACGGUUGUCCCGGUUUAAGCGUAUAGGUGUGUGUUCCAGGUAAAUCCGGUUCACUUUAACACUGAGGCGUGAUGACGAGGCGCUACGGUGCUGAAGCAACAAAUGCCCUGCUUCCAGGAAAAGCCUCUAAGCAUCAGGUAACAUCAAAUCGUACCCCAAACCGACACAGGUGGUCAGGUAGAGAAUACCAAGGCGCUUGAGAGAACUCGGGUGAAGGAACUAGGCAAAAUGGUGCCGUAACUUCGGGAGAAGGCACGCUGACAUGUAGGUG